AGUCCUGAACCCGUAGAUCCGAACUUGUGCUAACUGACAUCACAAGCUUGCAUCUACAGGUUCCCGUCUG
rfam:Poecilia formosa, whole genome shotgun sequence.